rnacentral:rRNA from 1 species
UGGGGAAUAUUGCACAAUGGAGGGAACUCUGAUGCAGCGACGCCGCGUGAGUGAUGAAGGAAUUCGUUUCGUAAAACUCUGUUCUAUGGGAAGAAAAGGACUGUACCAUAGGAGAAAGCUCCGGCUAAAUACGUGCCAGCAGCCGCGGUAAUACGUAUGGAGCGAGCGUUGUCCGGAAUUAUUGGGCGUAAAGGGUGCGCAGGCGGCUUUACAAGUUGGAUGGGAAAUAUUGUGGCUCAACCACAAACGUGCAUCCAAAACUGCAAAGCUUGAGUUAAGGAGAGGUAAGUGGAAUUCCUGGUGUAGCGGUGGAAUGCGUAGAUAUCAGGAGGAAUACCGGUGGCGAAGGCGACUUACUGGACUUAAACUGACGCUCAGGCACGAAAGCGUGGGGAGCAAACAGG